GACGAACGCUGGCGGCGUGCUUAACACAUGCAAGUCGAACGGAAAGGCCCUGCUUUUGUGGGGUGCUCGAGUGGCGAACGGGUGAGUAACACGUGAGUAACCUGCCCUUGACUUUGGGAUAACUUCAGGAAACUGGGGCUAAUACCGGAUAGGAGCUCCUGCUGCAUGGUGGGGGUUGGAAAGUUUCGGCGGUUGGGGAUGGACUCGCGGCUUAUCAGCUUGUUGGUGGGGUAGUGGCUUACCAAGGCUUUGACGGGUAGCCGGCCUGAGAGGGUGACCGGGCACAUUUGGACUGGGGUACGGCCCAGACUCCUACGGGAGGCAAGAGGGGGGAAUAAUGCACAAUGGGCGGAAGCCUGAUGCAGCAACGCCGGGGGGGGGAUGACGGCCUUCGGGUUGUAAACCGCUUUCGCCUGUGACGAAGCGUGAGUGACGGUAAUGGGUAAAGAAGCACCGGCUAACUACGUG
rnacentral:rRNA from 1 species